UACGAAGGGGGCUAGCGUUGCUCGGAAUUACUGGGCGUAAAGCGCACGUAGGCGGCUCUUUAAGUCGGGGGUGAAAUCCCGAGGCUCAACCUCGGAACUGCCUUUGAUACUGCAAAUCUCGAGUCCGGAAGAGGUGAGUGGAAUUCCUAGUGUAGAGGUGAAAUUCGUAGAUAUUAGGAAGAACACCCGUGGCGAAGGCGGCUCUCUGGUACGUGACUGACGCUGAGACGCGAAAGCGUGGGGAGCAAACAGGG
rnacentral:rRNA from 1 species